GUGAAGGCGGUCUUCACCAUUCCUCUUCUGCCCAUUCCCCGACACAUGUCCCUCCAAUAUUUUAUUCAAGUGGGCAGCCCUGAACUAUGGGGCAGCCCUUUGACUUUGGAAUCAUGCAAAUGAUGUCACUUGUGAAUCAGGGGCUCACCCAUACAAAUGUAUACACCAGCCUUCCCCAACUUGGUGCCCUCCAAAUAUUUUAGACUACAACUGCUGUCAUCACUGACCAUUUGCCAUGCUGGUUGGAGCUGGUGGAAUAUCUAGUCCAAAAACAACUGAAAGACAACUACUGAAAGACAACAGAGUAGUGCAUGUCCUGGUUAUCUCCCGCUUGGACUACUGCAAUGCGCUCUACGUGGGGCUACCUUUGAAGGUGACCCAGAAACUACAAUUAAUACAGAAUGCGGCAGCUAGACUUGUGACUGGGAGUGGCUGCUGGGACCACAUAACACAGGUCCUGAAAGACCUACAUUGGCUCCCAGUACAUUUCUGAGCACAAUUCAAAGUGUUGGUGUUGACCUUUAAAGCCCUAAAUGGUCUCAGCCCAUUAUACCCAAAGGAACAUCUCCACCCCCAUCAUUCAGCCCGGACACUGAGGUCCAACUCUGAAGGUCUUCUGGCAGUUUCCUUCCUGUGAGAAGUGAAGUUACAGGGAACCAAGCAGAGGGCCUUCUCGGUAGUGGCGCCAGCCCUGUGGAAAAGUUGCUGGGCUCCCUGUGUUAUGUCAUAGUCCCGUUGCUCUGCCUGGAGGCAGAGUUAGCAUCCAACGUCAGGUCCAGUCUUAGGGUCAGGAGAACAGCAAUCCAUGUAGUCAGAUGGUCAAGCGGUCAGGAACUCCAAUGAGUAUGGGGUCAAGGCAAGCAGGAAGCAGCAAGGUAGGACCAGAAACUAAAAGCAUUGUUACCAGUCUCUGACUGCUGCUGGAAGCUAUGCUUAAGCAGGCUGAAGCCAGCUGGUUCUCAUCAGUGCCUUUUCCUCUGUGUCCGUGAAGGCUGAUUGGCUGCAGGUGGCCCCGUGCCCCCUUCUCGUGACAUUCUGUUUCUCUGAAUAUAGACUUAACUUCACGGACACCUUGUGAAUUAUUGCUGACUUGCUCCCAACACCCUCCCUGACAGCUACCCUGUGAUGCUGCCUGAGCCAAGGUCAUCCAGUAAGCUUCAGAGUCAAGUUGAGAUACACACACACACACACACACACACACACACACACACACAGACAGACACACACACACACACACACACACACACCACCCUAUGCCCGGAGGUCUCAGGGCGGUUCACAGAACAAAAUCAGAAUAUAAAACCACUAUAUAUAUAACCAGUGCUUUUUUUCUGGGGGGACGCAGGGGUACAGAUAUCCCUAAAUAUUUUGUGAAUCUAAGUUUGGACUCACUGAGAUGCAGUACUUCAAUAUGAGUAGGAAAAUGAGAGUACUCGUAAACAUAUUUUUUUUUAGAAAAAAGCGCUGUAUAUAACCAAAUAAAAACAACAACCCAAUAACACCCCCCCCCCCAAAAAAAGAACAUAGGAUGUAAAGACCAUAGGGUGUAAAUUAGAUCCUGGUAAAAAAGGAAUGUUUUUGCCUGGUGCCUAAAGGUGUAUAAUGAAGGCGCCAGGCAAACUUCCCUGGGGAGAGCAUUCCACAAAUGGGGAGCCACUGCAGAGGAGGCCCUGUUUCCGUGUUGCCACCCUCCAGACCUCUCGAGGAGGAGGCACACGAAGAAGGGCUUCAGAGGCUGAUCUCAGGGUCUGGGUAGGUUCAUACUUCCAUAGUUUCAACUGAUGUCUCAGUCUCAGUCCUAGUCCCGUAGUCUAACAGCGGUCCAGGCACACGACUAGCUGGUUUGGCACUGACCUCACAUUUAUGGCCUGGUGAAAAGAUUCCACAAUCUAUAUUGUCACUUGAACAGUCUAGUGCCAAAGCUACCCAUCACGUGAUGCUCCGGUGUCUAAGAGCAGUCAGAGAAUUAACCUAAAUUGAACUUCUGGGCAGAUUUGGAGAAUCCUGCUCAGGCUAAAUAUCAGCAGAAAUUCCAGAGGAAAUUCAUUAAGAAAUUCAGAAUCAUUCACAACAUUUCUCAAAGGAGUUUCACUUACUUUUAACUGCAGUUGACUUUAAUUACUGCAGAGAUAAAUGCAGGGCAAGGAACUGCUGGAUUCAGUCAUGGCUCCUUGUCUCUUGGUGCAGUCUCCUCCUGCCAGCGCUGCAUGGAGUUCUGCCUCGUUCUCCUCCUUCUUGGCACACCUUUCACCAAAAACACCCAAGUGUCCUGUGAAAGGGCACUUUUUUUCUUGCCACCUCUCUCACACAAACACCCAUCACCUUGGCAACCUCUAUUUUGCACAGACACAUCUCUGAUGCGUAGAUGAUGUCUGGCCAUUGUUUCAUAAUGGCCCACAUUCAACCAGCCCAGCCAGGCUAAAUUUUUCAGAGACACCGCUGAUGGAGUCUUUUGAGGAGUUGGGGAUGGCGUUGAUAAGUGGUCCAUGUUUCACAAGCUUACAGGGAGGUUGGUAAUACAAUAGCUUUGUAAACAAGCAUUUUGGUUUCCCUGCGUCUUCAAACACUCUGCACUUCAAUCGGGAGAAAGCUGCGCUUGCAGAGCUCACCCUGUGUGGUGGGGGAACAUGAACAAUGCCUGCUUUGAUGGCUGAAUUUGAUGUGGGGGUUGGUGUAGGCAGAGGCAAUCUCUUAAGGUAGCAGGGGUCUAGGCCACAAAAAGGUUUAGAGCCCUUGAAUUGGGAAUUAUCAACCAGUGCACCUGAUAUUUUACGGGCUGAAUGUGGCUGCAACUCCCAGCAUCUGUGAGAGGUACUGUGGCAUUUUGAGUUAGCUGAAGAUUCUGAGCUUUGGCCAAAUCAAAUAAGUGUUGGAAAUGUAAAGAGAAAUAAUGUUCUUUAUAUCCUAUGUGGUGGUCUUGUAGUAAGGUUAAAGCUUACUAGGAAAUGAUAUCUAAUGAAUUGAAAAAGAUGUUUAAAAUAAUGUUUGUAAAAAAACAAACAAACCCAGAAGUUUUUCUUUUGGGAAUUAUAGGGACAGAACUACCAAACUGUAUAGAAAUUUAUUCAUUUAUGCAACUACAGAGGCAAGAAUGUUACUUGCCCAAAAGCAUCUUUGAUGCGUAGAUGCGUAGAUGCCUGGCCAUAGUUUCAUACUAUCUUUGUGCUGCACUUAUAUGGCACCGAUUGCAUUCCUAACAUUUACAGCCUAAAUUAUAAUGCCCUAAAUUGCUUUCAUUAUCCAAAGAAUUAAAUGGUGUUGCCAGUAUUUCAGAAUAUUAUGGGACUGAGCAUUUUGGGCCACUUCAUUCUGGGCAUGUUGGCACAUAAUCUGCAGCAGCCUUUUCUCUUUUAAGACGUUUUACAGAUCGCAACAGUAUCCUGCUGAGUCAUGGUGACACCAAAAUAAGAAAAAAAUAGUUUCUCUCUGGUCACUUCCAUGCUCUUUGUGUUAAAUCUGUGGUAUGUUUUGAAAAGUUUGAGCCUUAUUAUCCCUUUAUAUAAAUACACCCCUCCACUCAGGUCCACAAUCUGGAUAAAGGCCACGAGAACAAAACACACCACUCUUUGUCUAUCGUACAACAGAUUUCUUUUAGGCAAAGGUUAGUCUUCUGUGUGUAGGCACAUAAAUCUGCAUCUAUUGUAGAAUGUUAAAAGUUCCUGCUUAGUAUAAUAAGAUCUAAAAAAGAAAUGAGACCAGAUGGUGGAGGUGCAGGCAGAGAAACAAUAGAUAUUUAGCAAAAAAAAAAAAAAAGUAUUGGCUAUAAUAAGUUUUGUGGAAGGACAUUACAUUCUCUCUGACGCAAUACUUUUGCUGUUGUUCUGUCUCAAAACCUGGAUUGUCAACGUGAUGGCCAUGGGAGAACAUGUGCCCACAGAGGCCUCCCCUGGUGGCCCCUUUACUAAAAUUAGGCUUUAAAUAAUUGUUUUUCUAAUGCCAAUAGAAUGGGUUGUGGUCUGUGCUUGGUUGCAGUAUGUGUACAGUAUGGCAGAAGGUAAAGGUAAAGGACCUCUGGACGGUUAAGUCCAGUCAAAGGCAACUAUGGGGUUGCGGCGCUCAUCUCGCUUUUCCGGCCGAGGGAGCCGGCAUUUGUCCACAGAAAUAUUUCCAGGUCAUGUGGCCAGCAGGACUAAACCGCUUCUUGCACAACAGAACACCGCGAUGGAAACCAGAGCACAUGUAAAUGCUGUUUACCUUCCCACUGCAGCGGUACCUAUUUAUCUACUUGAACUGGUGUGCUUUCGAACUGCUAGGUUGGCAGGAGCUGGGGCAGAGCAAGGAGAGCUCAUACCAUUGUGGGGAUUCGAACUUCAGACCUUCCAGUCAGCAGGCCCAGGAAGCUCAGUGGUUUAGACCACAGCGCCACCCACCUCCCACAUGUGCAUGGUAUCCACAACAGGCUCUCUAGUUGCAAAUGGGUCAAUUGGCCAAAGAGAUGUAUUACCCCUAAAGGAUAGUGCAGCCCUGAUCCUUUAGCAUGCAUACACAAGGUCUCCAGAAAGAAGCUGAAAUCCCUCUGAUCAGCCACUUUACAUAGAAGAGGAAGUAGGAAAGGACAUAACUUAAUAGUCUGCUCUUCCUCCUGAACAUUAGGAUUCAUUCAGGCUUUGCUUACAAGAUAGGUGAAGCCAUGGCUCCUGGAUUUGGGUGGGGAAUUGUUCGUGAAAUGGGGAUUCCUUUUAGCUCCCGGAUUUUUUGUGUCAGUUCUAUAACUGUUUCAAGCUCCUGGGAAAUGGUUACUGACCUUAAAGUCUCCAUCCUUGUAUGAAGAAACUUUAAAUGGUGACUGCUACAUGAACAAAAGGAUUAGAUUGUGUUUGUUUGUUUGUUUUUUAAAAAAGGUCAGUGCUAGCGGUUGUGAACUGAAUUGGCACAAAUAUUAUUUUGGGGGGAGUAAUCACACUACAAAUGUUAAUUGGUUUGCUAUUGGCAGGAUGGCUGUGUUUUCAACAUCUGUGUGAGUUUUUUUUCUAAUGGCCGGUGUUAAUAACAUAAUUAUCACUGUCUAUACUUUCUGCAUUUCAUUUUGUUUUGACCCCAUAAUAACUCUGUUUGUGUGUAUCAGAAUAGCACUGUGCAUCUGAUGAAGUGGACUAUAAUUCACAAAGCUUCUUCCGUAAUAAAUUCAUCAGUCUUCAAGUUUUUAUUUAUACUUUUCAAGUGUAUACAUUUCAUUAGAUUUACAAUCAAUUUAACAUUUCAAAGUUUGACUUCCUUCCCCCUCUUUCUGCGGUUCCUUAAAUUUAUUUUUUAAUAUAUCCUGCAUAUCCAAAUUCAUUUAAUUUGUUCAUUUAAUUAUCUACUUUAAAUAAAUACUCUUAGGAAACUGCAGGUUAUUACAAUCAUCUGCUAAUGUUUUAAUCUGUUGGCAAUUUAUCUGUAAAUAUUCCACAGUUUCCCUUCUUUUAUAAAAAGUGUGUUAUCUUGAUUUCUUAUUCUUCUGGUAAGUUUCCCCAUUUCUGCAUAUUCCAUAAGUUUUUUUUAUCCAUUCAUCAGUCUUCAAGGCACCACAAGAGUCCUUGUUGUUUUAGGUACCUUCUAUUUCCCUUGCAGGAUGCAGACAAGCUUCAGAGGAAGUACCAUAUUUUUCGCUCCAGACCACAAGACGCACCUAGUUUUUGGAGGAGGAAAACAAGAAAAAAAAUAUUCUAAAUUUCAGAAUCCAGAACAACAAGAGGGAUUGCUGCGCAGCGAAAGCAGCAAUCCCUCUUGCUGUUCUGGCUUCUGGGAUAGCUGCGAAGCCUGCAUUCACUCCAUAAGACGCACACACAUUUCCCCUUACUUUUUAGGAGGGAAAAAGUGAGUCUUAUAGAGCAAAAAAUACGGUAUGCUCAAGGAGAAAAUGAGAGAGUUUAAACAGCUCUCCUCUAACACAAUGGGCUCAAUCCAGCCCCAUGGUUGCAUUUCACUUGCAGUAUCCCAUGUAUGCAGCUCCCAUGUCAUGAAGAAUUGUGCUCUGAAAAAAACUUGCAGAUAGAAAACUGCUAAAGAUAAUUUUUGGUUGCUACAAGUUUGGAAGAUUAUGAAACUUAUUCAGUGUGAAGAAAGAAGGACAGCUAUUGAAUAAAUUUAUAGACAGAUGGGAGGAAAGCAAUAUUUUCACUGGUAAUUCUGACGAUCAGGCCUCACAGGAAAGAUUGCGAUUAUAGCUAUUGUACUAAAAUGGUGAAUACUGUUUUAUCAGAAGAUAUGAAAUUGUUUUUCUUUUGUUACCAGUUAACAAAACAAAGACGUAGAUCAAAAAUAGCAUCUUGAGACUUUUAGGGAGAUCCCCCCCCCCAUCAGAAAGCAUGUGGAGGAUCAAUUUUUGUUCAUGCUCCCUCAUCUCAUACGGAAAGGAAGCAUAUUAGGAAGAAUGUUUCUAACCUAGCCUUAAAGACACCUAUUUGAAAAAUUCCUGCACUCAGAGCCUUGCUACCUGGAGCCGUGCUGAAGUUAAAGGACAGCUUGCUGGCUACAUUUGGAAUUAAGAUUUAAAGCUUCAGUGUUCAUAUUUCUUCAAUUUACUAAAAUAUGGCUGAUGAGUGCAAAAAUAUAGUCAUGGUAAUUCAAAGGUAGGAUAUUUUUUCCCCUCUACCUCAGAUUUAUUAGUGCUAAAAAUAUUUCAUAUUAUCCUUCAGCAGAAUAUAUGCUGAGCAUUCAGCAAAUUAAUGAGGUCAUGUAAGCUGCUAGUAUUUUUGUUUUUUUCUGCAGUUUGUAGGAACUGCUAAUUUUCCAUUUUGUUUAACCAGCCUCAUAUUCAAGAGUGAGUUCAGUUUAUUGGUUUCCAAAAGUGUCUUACCUGCCAUUUACUGCAGUUUCUCAGAAAGCACCAUCUAAGAUCACAAUAAAACCAAAUGGGAAUCAUGAGAUUGAACCUCCACAAAUUCGCCUUACUGAGUGUAUAAUAAUCUGAAAGUCAAAACUUGAUCUUAUCCAUAUGACAAUAAAACCAUUGCAAUAACCCAUAAGAGAUCCAGGAAAACGGCAAAAGCUCCAGCAGAAUAAACAUUUCAUCAAUAAACAGAAACUUUUAUCAUAUCACACACUUGCACUUUAACUGCCAAUACAAUUCAAUCGCACUUUUACUGUCAGCCUCUUAUCCCCCCCCCAAAAAAAAGAAGAAAAAAGAAAGAAAGAAAGAAAGAAAGAAAGAAAGAAAGAAAGAAAGAAAGAAAGAUGCAGGGAAGAUAUACCUGCAAAAGACUGGAAACAUGCAGAGAUGAGCUAGCUGAAUUCUCAUGGUUUCCAGUAAAUUCUAUGGGACAGAAAGAAAAUGGGUGCAAUGUGGGACUUGACUGAAAGUAAGAAAAACCUGGCCCCAAUCCCGUUGUUGUUAUUAUUAUUAUUAUUAUUAUUAUUAUUAUUAUUAUUAUACAUUUUAUUAGUUUUACCAUCAAUUUAACAUUUCAAAAUUUAACUUCCUCCCCCCUCUUUCUGAGGUUCCUUUAAAAAAAUUUUUUUUAAUAUCUUCUGCAUAUCCAAAUUCAUUUAAUUUGCUCAUUUAUCUUCUUUAAAUAUAUACUCUUAUGAAACUGCAGGUUAUUACAACAAUGUUUUUAUCUGUUUGCAGUUUAUCUGUAAAUAUUCCAUAAACCAUUUCCAUUCUUUUAUAAAAAGUUUGUUAUCUUGAUUUCUUAUUCUUCCGGUUAAGUUUCGCCAUUUCUGCAUAUUCCGUACGUUUUCGUAUCCAUUCUUCCUUUGCUGGGACUUCUGCUUCUUUCCACUUUUGGGCAAGUAACAUUCUUGCUGCUGUAGUAGCACACAUGAAUAAGUUUCUGUACAGUUUCGGUAGUUCUGUCCCUAGAAUUCCCAUAAGAAUUAUUAUUAUUUUUCUCAUCAUCAUCAUUUCCCAGCAUACCACCAUACUUUUUCCCAUUUAAGUGAAUGAGUGACAGUACUGGAAACAGUGCAUCAUCCCUUAAGAUUCUCUCAGGCUCCUCCCCAGACUUGCCAGAUUCCUUAAAGUUCUACUCUUACUCUAUCUCUAGCUAGGCAGAUUUCACCUAGGGCAGGCUAGGCCCUCCAGAUGUUUUGAGACUACAAUUCCCAGCAUCCCUGACCACCGGUCCUGUUAGCUAGGGAUCAUGGGAGUUGUAGGCCAAAAACAUCUGGAGGGCUGAGGUUGAGGAAGCCUGACCCAAGGUUACUUAAUCCCAACUCCAGCCUUCCAGGCUGCAUUGGUGGGCGAGCUCAACUUUAAAAGAUAUUGUUGAAAACAAAAGCCAGCAACCUACAGCAGAACAGGACAGCUGUUGCAUAUGUCGCGAUCAUACCAGCAGCGUAGUGCUGGUUGCCCUCGCUACCGAUGCCUCCAGAGCAACCCCACCCCCGCUGGAGCGAAGAAGGGCCACACUUGGUGUAGUGGUUAAGAGCGGUAGACUCGUAAUCUGGUGAACCGGGUUCACAUCCCCGCUCCUCCACAUGCAGCUGCUGGGUGACCUUGGGCUAGUCACACUUCUCUGAAGUCCCUCAGCCCCACUCACCUCACAGAGUGUUUUUUGUGGGGGAGGAAGGAAAAGGAGAUUGUUAGCUGCUUUGAGACUCCUUCGGGUAGUGAUAAAGCGGGAUAUCAAAUCCAAACUCCUCUUCUUCUUCUUCUUCUUCUUCUUCUUCUUCUUCUUCUUCCCGGCCCUUGCAGUGGGGAGCCCAGUUGGCCGACGUGACUCUUGGCAAGCGGAGAAGAUCACUGGGCCAGGCCACGCUGGGUUUGCCUGUGGAAAGAUUACAAAGACUUUAUUUGCGUAGCCAACAGGCCAUAGCAUCAAAGGACAGACACCGACAAAAAUACAUUACAAAUAUAGUUACCGUAUAAUCUUAUGACCUAUUAAAACCCUAAGUAGAAGCUGGAUUAUCAUUCAUCAAUGACCCUCUGUCCCAUAGGCAGUGGCCUUUUCUCUGGUAGAUUGUUCCAGGUCGGUUAAGUAAAUAGACCAGCCAAAUUGAAAGAUUAUAAAUAUAAAUAUAACCUCGGGGGGAUGGUCAGGACAGGGAGAAAGAUAAUAAUAACCAGAUGCAGAUAGGUUAAAAAUCUCAGUACCUAAAACUUAGCAGAGAUAAUAAAAUACUAAUAAUAAAACAUAAGGAUAAUAAUGAUAGGAUCCUUGGCAAGGAAUCCGGGUGACGACACUGAUGUCAUUCAGAUAGCAGCUCUCAGUCUCAUUGCUCUCUCGAAAAAUUUAGCAACCUUCUCUGUUGUCGAGCUGUUCUGGUCGGCUAGGUGUGAGAACAAUUUGGCUUCACAAGAGCGGCCCGGGAUAGCAGAUAGGAGCGGCGUGAUGGUUGCUUGGUUUGCACCCGCUCAAAAAUUGUGCACUCAGGCCCCACUCCCGGCACCCCCCACUCUAUGCCCCUGGAUCAUAAUGGGAGGUGGCAGGCAGAUAGGUUCAUAAAUAAAUAAAAAAGUUAAAGGACCCCUGGACAGUUAAGUCUAGUCAAAGGCGACUAUGGGGUUGCAGCACUCAUCUCGCUUCAGGCCGAGUGAACUGGCGUUUGUCCACAGACAGCUUUCCGGGUCAAGUGGCCAGCAGGACUAAACUGCUUCUGGCGCAACGGGACACCGUGACGGAAGCCAGAGCGCACUGAAAUGCCAUUUACCUUCCCACCAUAACAGUAUCUAUUUAUCUUCUUGCACUGGCGUGCUUUCGAACUGCUAGGUUGGCAGGAGCUGGGACAGAGCAACGGGAGCUCAUGCCGUCGCAGGGAUUCGAACCACUGACUUUCUGAUCGGCAAGCCCAAGAGGCUCAGUGGUUUAGACCACAGCACCACGAGCGUCUCAUCCAGGUUUGUAAAUAUGCUCAUGUUUGCAUGGUACUCUCUCUCUCUCUCUCUCUCUCUCACACACACACACACCACCUUUGAACCAAUAGAGAAUUCACUUUUCCGUAAAAUCCUUUCACCAUUGGAUUCCUCUGUUAAGAGUUGCAGAAGGAGAAUACACCAUUUUCUCUUCCUCCGUAGAGUUUUGCUACUUGCAAAAGCCUGCCAUUAUAAUUUACUCAUUGGCUUUCCAUUCCCAUUUCUUUCCCUGCGAGAUAACAUAAAGAUCAGCUGCUCCCUGCUGUGAUAAUUCACGUAGAUCAUGAGACUUUGAUAGACGUGACAACAGAAAUAACCUUCAGGUUGCUACUCCUUUUAUGCUAGCUGCACACACAAGAGCCCUCUACCCCAGAGUGCCCGGCGUGAGGGUUACAAAAGGUCCUCACCCGCAAGUGCAGAGUUCAGAAAGUAAAAAAAAAAAUCUUAUCACGACCACCUCACAGCGUAAAGCCAGAGAUUAAUCAUGGGGGAAGGGGUGCUCUCUGUUAUUGACAGAGUUGUAUCGCAGAAAUGACAGCGUGAGGCAGGUAAGCAGUACUUGUGAGUGCACAACAAACUGGAGAAAGGGAUUUUCAUAAAGCUCAGACAGAUACCCUUUGGAAUGGAGUGCUUAAACAAGCUGGUGGGGCUUUGCAGAAGGAAAUAGAUAGCAUCGCUGGAUCGGGCGUCUGUUUUCACCAUAUGCUUACAAGAGAUAGCUAGAUCACAGAAAGCAGAGAGCGAGAGAGAGUCUAUUAAGCCAGAUGAGUGGAAGGGUAUUCAAUGAGACUAAUGAGUAAUGCAUCUUAGACAGCAUCUUAAAAAGCAGACACAUCACCUUGCCAACAAAGGUCCAUAUAGUUAAAGCUAUGGUUUUCCCAGUAGUGAUGUAUGGAAAUGAGAGCUGGACCGUAAAGAAGGCUGAUCGCCGAAGAAUUGAUGCUUUUGAAUUAUGGUGCUGGAGGAGACUCUUGAGAGUCCCAUGGACUGCAAGAAGAUCAAACCUAUCCAUUCUUAAGAAAAUCAGCCCUGAGUGCUCACUGGAAGGACAGAUUGUGAAGCUGAGACUCCAAUACUUUGGUCACCUCAUGGGAAGAGAAGACUCCCUGGAAAAGACCCUGAUGUUGGGAAAGAUGGAGGGCACAAGGAGAAGGGGACGACAGAGGACGGGAUGGUUGGACAGUGUUCUUGAAGCUACCAGCAUGAGUUUGACUAAACUGCGGGAGGCAGUGGAAGACAGGAGUGCCUGGCGUGCUCUGGUCCAUGGGAUCACAAAGAGUCGGACACGACUAAACGACUAAACAACAACAACAAUGAGUAACGCCUUGGAAUGGCAAACAAAAGAUGAACGGGUUAAAUCUGUAAUGAUACACUGGGCAAGGGAUUUGGGGCAUAAUAUCCAAAUUUCAGAUUGGAAAAGGUUAUGGAAAACUGACUUGAAAUUCUUGGCGUGUUGUACGCUGAAAGAAAACUACAAUGGUACCUCUGGAUGCGAACGGGAUCCGUUCCGGAGCCCCGUUCACAUCCUGAAGCAAACGCAACCCGCGUCUGCACAUCUGCACGUGCGCGGGUCGCGAUUUAUCACUUCUGUGCAUGCGCGCAACGUCAUUUUGAGCGUCUGUGCAUGCACGAGUGGCGAAACCCGGAAGUAACGCGUUCCAUAACUUCCAGGUCACCACGGAGCGCAACCCAAAAAUGCUCAACCCGAAGCUACUUCAACCCAAGGUAUGACUGUAUAUGAAAAUCAUGUACUGGUGGUAUUUGACUCCUAGGAAAUUAGCAAAAAUGUAUAAGACAAGCACAAAUACCUGCUGGAAAUGUAAAGAAAAAGGAGGUACCUUUUACCAUAUGUGGUGGUCGUGUAAGGUAAUAAAAGCAUUCUGGGAAAUGAUAUAUAAUGAAUUGAAAAAACGUUCAAAAUAACUUUUAUUUUAAAAAGAAGCUUUUUUAUUAAGAAUUGUAGGUACCGAGAUCCCAAAGGAGCAGAAAAGACUUUUCAUGUACGUGACAACAGCUGCAUGCAUGCUACUAGCCCAGAGAUGGAAAGAAGAUAAAGUCCCUACCAGAGAGGAAUGGCAAACCAAGCUGCUGGACUGCACCAAAAUGGCAAAACUGACCAGAAAACUCAGGAACCAAGAAGACAAAAACUUCAAUAAAAGAUGGGGAGAAUUUAUAAUUUAUUUAGGAGACCACUGUAAGCAAAUGAAAACAUUAGCAGGAUUUUAAUAACACUUACAAUGUAACAAUCACUAUAGACAAUAUGGAGAGAUACAAAAUAUGGAUUAUGAAAUAAUAUGCGGUUGGAAAUGUUGACAAUAAGACCCAUAGAGUGGAGGCUGGGAAGUCUGGCGAAAUCUCUAAAUAUGGAUAUGUAUUUUGGUAUUGUUAUAACUUUACACUUGCAGGACAAGGCAUUGGUCUUUUCAUACCCCAACCGAACUAAUAAGAGACCAAUGAGACUGGUUUUGGGGGUCAAAACAGGCCACAACUUUACUGAAAGUCUUUAAAUUCUUCUGGAUGACCUAACAUGGCAGUAAAGCCUCUCCUCCUCCCGGGGGGGAGGGGUUGUGAUCUGGAACCGUUCCCAUGCUUCGCAGGGCGCGUUUCGGCCCCUGCUUGCCGUCAUUGCUGCCGCGCCAUGCUUCCCGGUCAGUCUUCCAAUUGGAGGGAAGCUCGGGGGCAGGGUUUAGCCGGUCAAAUGCGGCCGCGGCAGCUCUUUCCCCUCAUUGCGCUGCCGGGUUUCAACGGGUCAACCACCCACCCUUCCCUUUAGUUCAUCGCUUCGUGCUUGACCUUGCUAUGGACCUCUGGUUGGUCGCCCUGGUUGCCCAAGGGGCCUGGUAGGAGUUUUUACCCAAUUGGCAAAUUGGCGCCGGCCACUUGGUUUUUCACCUACCUUCUAGCAAAUCGUCACAACUUUCUGGUAUUGCCGGUUAGGCAUUGGAAUAUGUUGUUGGUGUAUGGAAGGGCAGGGUGUGGCCAUCGCCUACCGCUUCACUUUAUGGGUAUUCCGUUAAAGGAAUCUGGUGGUCGUGGAUCCUGUCCGAUGACCUGCUGGUGGCUGGGGGCCGUGGCACGACCCCCGGUGACAUCAGGGGAGAGCUUACGGUUGUAUUUGCAUCAACAGGCUCCCCCUAUUGGUGGUUAACCCUUGUUAGGCUCACCCCUCCCUGAGGGGGUGGAGUCAAGCUCUGCUGUUUAUCCAAUGCCUAAGCCAAUACCUCUCACAUGCUGUAAUCAAUAAAGUUGUGGCCUUUUCUUGCCCAUUAACCUACUACAGGUGAAACUCAAAAAAUUAGAAUAUCGUGGAAAAGUUCAUUGAUUUCAGGAAUUCAACUUCCAAGGUGAAACUAAUAUAUGAGAUCAACUCAUGACAUGCAAAGCAAGAUGUGCUUCCACUUCUCGGAGGUCCAAUCUUGCUCCAUUUCCAAUCUUUGUUUUGCUGAUUUCCUUGAAUAUUCUAAUUUUCUGAGAUUGUUAAUUUGGGGUUUUCAUCAGCUGUAUGCCAUGACCAUCACAAUGAUAACAAAUCAAGGCAAAAAUAUCUCGCUCUGCAUGUCACGAGUCUAUCUCAUAUAUUAGUUUCACCUUUUAAGUUGAAUUACGGAAAUCAAGGAACUUCUCCACGAUAUUCUAAUUUUUCGAGUUUCACCAGUAUACUGUGUCCUUGUGUCUUUCUUAUCCCAAAGUGGGGGGUUCCUCGAAUCACAAUGUGGGUUUCCUGUUUUAAAAUGUCUCGUGCCUCUUCUGGCAACCGUCGCUCCCUCUAUCCCGCUCUUUGUUGUGGCCAUACAUUCAGAGCUAGGGAUAGAACAUUGAGCCACUUCCAAGAGGAACUCAGCAAGCUGAGCAGCACGGAGACAGAACAAUGGCUACUGGCAACAGAGCAGAAACAGAGGGACAGGGUAUUUUUGAAUAUUAUGUUGCUGGAAAGCAAGAGGGACCACACAAUAAAAAUGGGAACCAGAAGAGAGGAGAAUAGAGGACAACAAAAAGACAAUUAAGCGGUCAAAUGACAGCUCAUUUGAGCUGGCUGUAUUUAUUAUAUUACAUGGAGACCAGACCUCUUUUCUUGUUCCAGGUUCCUUCUCUUUCACUUCUGGUAUUCCUCUCAAUCCCAAAUCAUUUUAGAUAGAGUUUCAAGCUUAACGUUGACGACGACAAAUUUAAGAAUCAUCUUUUUACACAUACGUCUCAAUGUAAUUUAGAGAUAUUAAAACAGCUAUAAUAGGGUUUGUUUGUUUGUUUGUUUUUUAAAUGUACAAAAAACUGAAAGUUGGUUUUUAAAAACUGGUGGGUCAAUCAACUACAGCCCUGGAGGUGCUACAGACUACUGCUUUCAUCACUCCUUGAAAUUUGCCAUGCUGGCUGGAGCUGAUUAGGAACUAUAAGUUCAAUGACAUCUCAGAGGUGCCCAUAUAACUGCCAAAUCCUGUUGAGUUGGAUGAGUUUCGGCCCAGUAUACCUGAAGGAGCAUCUCCACCCCCAUCAUUCAGCCCGGACACUGAGGUCCAGUUCCAAGGGUCUUCUUGCGGUUCCCUCACUGGGAGAAGGGAGGUUACAGGGAACCAGGCAAGAGGGCCUUCUCGGUAGUGGUGCCCGCCCUGUGUAAUGCCCUCCCAUCAGAUGUCAAGGAAAUAAAGAACUAUCUGAUGUUUAGAAGAUAUCUGAAAGCAGCCCUGUUUAGGGAAGUUUUUAAUGUUUGGUGUUUUAUCAUGUUUUUAAUAUUCUGUUGGGAGUUGCCCAGAGUGGCUGGGGAAACCCAGCCAGAUAGGCAGGGUAUGUAUGUAUGUAUGUAUGUAUGUAUGUAUGAAUGAAUGAAUAAAUAAAUAAACUAUUAUUAUUAUUAUUAUUAUUAUUAUUAUUAUUAGCAAGGCUUAAGCAUGUGGACAAGGCCUUGUAAAUGUGUUUGUGGGUAGGUGGGGUAUUGCUUUGUUUCCGUUUCCAUUUUUGCUUUUGUUUUAGCAUGUAUUCUAGUGAGCCUUCCUGUGAUCUAUACAAGUUCAUAACAAUAGAUAGAUAGACAGAUAGACAGACAUAUAUAGCUAUAGCUAUAGAUAUAGAUACCCCUGACCGUUAGGUCCAGUUGCGGACGACUCUGGAGUUUCGCGCUCAUCUCGCUCUAUAGGCUGAGGGAGCCGGCGUUUGUCCACAGACAGCUUCCGGGUCAUGUGGCCAGCAUGACGAAGCCGCUUCUGGCGAACCAGAGCAGUGCACGGAAAUGUAGUUUACCUUCCCGCCGGAGCGGUACCUAUUUAUCUACUUGCACUUUGACAUGCUUUCGAACUGCUAGGUGGGCAGGAGCAGGGACCGAGCAACGGGAGCUCACACCGUCACGGGGAUUUGAACCACCAACCUUCUGAUCAGCAAGCCCUAGGCUCAGUGGUUUAGACCACAGUGCCCCCACAUCCUUAUAGAUAUAGAUAUAUUAAGAGGGAGAGAGAGAGAGAGAGAGAGAGAGAGAGAGAGAGAGAGAGAUGUUGAGGACCAUUAACCACUUCUGAACUAAAACAGCAAUUCAUGGAUUAAGGAUGUGUCAGUGAAAGCAAAUCUUAAAAAUUGGUAAGGCUGAGAAUUAAAGGUCACUUGGCUUCUGAACCUGUUUUGGUUCUGCUGCAUUGUGGGCAAAGAGUGGGGGGGAACAAUUUUAAGGUUGCCUUUUCUUCUAAAAACGUGCUUUCAUUUGCUUAUUAAAUUGCUUGUAUUCUCACACUUUCUUGCAAAUCUGAACGAAUCUUUGUCACUGAAUUCAUUCUAUACAGAUUUGUUUAAACGAAAUCCACUGAUUAGCUUAAGUAUCCAGUUAAAAGUAAUCAAAAGGAACCUGUCACAAAUGCUGCAAUCCAAUGGGCGCUAAUGCGUCUAAAAUGUUGGCUUAAUUCUUUCAGGACCCUUUUACAGCAUUCAUUUGGGAAUCAUUGGACAAGUGUAAAGUAUCUCUUUGAAUCCUGGCCAGCUGUUUGUUAUCCCAUUGGUUCUGGCUUGCUCUAAAAGAAAUCUCUUUGCCCAGAAAACAUUUCAGUUUGGCUUCUUUUCCACAAUAAACAAACAAACGACACUUUAAAAAAUGCUCAUCUGUUAAAAUAUGUAAAUCUCUACUUAAAAGUUACUCGAUUAGCAGAAGAAAUAAGCAGUCAUUGUGGCUUUAUUUCAAAAUGAAAAGUAUUAACAGUUGCUCACAAGGGCAAGUGAGGGUCUUCCACCAAAAUCUAAUUUUCAGAGCUUUCCAAAGGGGGGAAAAAUGGGGUUUAUUUAUACAACCAGCCUGUUGACUGCUGUUUCAGAAAUGGGUGGGGGACAAUGUUAUUUGGUUAAGAAUUUGGCACCUUGUUCAGAAAUACAAGGUUUUCCUAUUAAAAAUACAUCUUGAUUUUCUCGCAACCCUUUGAAAUUCUGCGAUUGAAUCAGAGCUAAAAAGGGCUAACUGACUCAAAUGUCACCAGAGUUGCAAACACUGAGAGGCCUUAGACCUCCUGGGAUUUUUUCUCAGCUUUGCCCUCUUGUGCAAUGGAGUGAUAAUGAUACCGCGUUACUUGAUAGGUUGCAAGCAUGACUGUGAAUGUGUUGUGAAGCACUUUGAACACUCAGAAAAGGUGCUGUAUAUGCUGCGAAUCUUUCAUAAUGAGGUUUCAGAUAUUUGCAAGUCUGUCCACCUUUUCAGACCCUCCAAGUGCCCCUAUUUUUCAGGGACACUCCCUGGUAUACCGAAGCUGACCCAGUUUCUGAUUUGAUCCUGGAAUGUCCCACUUUUCCUCAGAGUGUUCCUAUUUUCAUUGGAGAAAUGUUGGACGCUAUGGUAGGAUCUUGCUAUUGUCAUCAGAGAAAUAUUGGCAGGUAUGGAGUUAUGUGAACCCUGAGGCAAGGAAAUAAGUAACUGUAUAACCUUUAGAAGUCACCUGAAGGCAGCCCUGUACAGUGGUACCUCGGGUUACAUACGCUUCAGGUUACAGACGCUUCAGGUUACAGAUUCCGCUAACCCAGAAAUAGUACCUCGGGUUAAGAACUUUGCUUAAGGAUGAGAACAGAAAUCGUGCUUUGGUGGUGCGGCGGCAGCAGGAGGCCCCAUUAGCUAAAGUGGUGCUUCAGGCUAAGAACAGUUUCAGGUUAAGAACGGACCUCCAGAACGAAUUAAGUACUUAACCCGAGGUACCAAUGUAUAGGGAAAUUUUUAAUGUUUAAUGUUUUAUUAAGUUUUUGUGUAUGUUGGAAGCCACCCAGAGUAGCUGGGGAAACUAGUCAAGAUGGGUGGGGUAUAAAUAAUAAAAUGAUGAUGGUAAAAUAGGAUUUCCCUAUUGUCAUCGGAGAAAUGUUGAAGGGUAUGCCUUUUCCUUCUCCCAUAAAAAAGCCCGGAUACAGAGGCCCAGCUCCGAGGGUCUUCUGGUGGUUCCCUCCAUGCAAGAAGUGAGCUUACAGGGAACCAGGCAGAGGGCCUUCUCGGUAGUGGCGCCUGCCCUGUGGAACGCCCUCCCAUCAGAUGUCAAGGAAAUAAACAACUAUCUAACUAUUUAGUUAGCAGCCCUAUUUAGGGAACCUUUUAAUGUUUGGCUGGGAGAACCCAGCCAGAUGGGCGGAGUAUAAAUAAUCUAUUAUUAUUAUUAUUAUUAUUAUUAUUAUUAUUAAUCAGUGCUUUUUUCUGGGGGGGCUCAGGGGGACACAUACCCCUAAACAUUUUGUGAAUCUAAGUUUGGCCUCAUUGAGGGGCAGUAUUUCAAUAUGAGUAGGAAAAUGAGAGUACCCCUAAACAUUUUUUAAGAAAAAAAGUACUUAUUAUUAUUAUUAUUAUUAUUAUUAUUAUUAUUAUUAAGAACAAAAGACAAUCAAGAAAAAAAGCAUGGUCCAAACUGGAUUUGAACACUGAACCAUUCAUCUCAGCUUCUGUAUGUUGAUAUGUGCUCAGUGCCUAACUAAUGUAUGCAUUCUUGAAUUGAAAUAACAAUCCUAUUCUCUCUCUCAACUUUAUUUUCAAGGGAAAUAUAUUCUAUUUAUUUGGUACAUUUAUAUACCGCCUAUUAACUUGGUCCUCCGGACAGUUCACAUCAUUAUCAAAACAACAAACUUCAAGGUGCACUCAGGGUCAUGCACAUCAAAAGUGUUCAGAGCUCUUCCACAGACCCCUGGCUUCAGCAGUGAAAGAGAUCUGUCCCAUAUCUAUCGGCAAUUUCCAGCUCUGCUCUGGGGCUGAUAACAAAGAAGACAGCAAACAUUUUGGCCCAUGACUGGGGGCGGGGUGGGGAAUUGCAUGCAUUAUCAUCCGCACAGUACAGAGAUAUUUCAUCUAUUAAUAAUGCAUGGGUUAUGAAUAAAUAGCAAGUGACAAUUGGGAUGACUGCUGUUUUGGAUGUUAUAAACCAUAACGUUUCUGUGCAAACAGUUCAUGAAUAUAGAGAAGAAAGGAUUUUAAUGGAAUGAAUCAGUAGCAGCAGAAGAAGAAAAAAAAGAAAGAAUUCCAGAUGAAAAGGGAGCUUGUUUUGCACAGCACUGGGAAACACAGAAGGCUGUUCUCAUAUGAAAGGCAGGUUUCUCCUUUUCCGCAUGAAUGCACAUGGACAAAAGUCUCAUUUGAUGCUCAGGGAUGGAUCCUAAUUAUUUCAUUGUAUUAAUUUAGUCACACAUGACAUUAUUUAUAUGUACAAUGCCAUCGACAUGCAGAGCAACAUGGGGGGGGGGGGAGGAAGAAGGAAUGUCCCUUCCCAGGGAAACUUUCCUUCUCAAUUUCUGCAGUGGAAGAAACUAUUCCUAGAGUGGAAACACUCUGUUGAUACAUGCUAAACAGACAGCUGCCAUCUUCACAGUCCUGCCGACCAAUCUUUCAUGUUGCAUGCUUUAAAGUGCUGUGGGUGCCCGCCCACGCCCCAAAUCUCCUUGCAGUGGUCCUGGUAUGCAUAAGGGAUUCCAAAUGUCCUCAAAUAAUAAUAAUAAUAAUAAUAAUAAUAAUAAUAAUAAUAAUAAUGUCUCUGCUUUUUAAAAAAGAAAAAAAAAAGCAAAAAAAGGUCCGUAUAGUUAAAGCCAUGGUUUUUCCAGUAGUGAUGUAUGGAAGUGAGAGCUGGACCAUAGAGAAGGCUGAUCGCCAAAGAACUGAUGCUUUUGAAUUAUGGUGCUGGAGGAGACUCUUGAGAGUCCCAUGGACUGCAAGAAGAUCAAACCUCUCCAUUCUGAAGGAAAUCAGCCCUGAGUGCUCACUGGAAGGACAUAUGCUGAAGCUGAGGCUCCAAUACUUUGGCCACCUCAUGAGAAGAGAAGACUCCCUGGAAAAGACCCUGAUGUUGGGAAAGAUGGAGGGCACAAGGAGAAGGGGACGACAGAGGACGGGAUGGUUGGACAGUGUUCUCAAAGCUACGAACAUGAGUUUGACCAAACUGGGGGAGGCAGUGGAAGAUAGGAGUGCCUUGUGUGCUGUGGUCCAUGGGGUCACGAAGAGUCGGACACGACUAAACGACUAAACAACAACAUUUUUAUUAAUUUAUUUCUUAUACCCUGCCCAUCUGACCGGGCCUCCCCAGCCAUUCUGGGUGGCUCCCAACACAAUAUUAUAAACACGAUAAAACAUCAAACAUCAAAAACUUCCCUUGAGAUGUCUUCUAAAAGUCAGAUAGUUGUUUAUUUCCUUGACACCUGAUGGGAGGGCGUUCCACAGGGCAGGCGCCACCACCGAAAAGACCCUCUGCCUGGUUCCCUGUAACCUCAUUUCUCGCAGUGAGGGGAUCGCCAAAAAGCCCUUGGAGCUGGACCUCAGUUUCUGGGCUGAAUGAUGGGGGUGGAGGCGCUCCUUCAGAUAUACUGGGUCGAGGCCAUUUAGGGAGGAGGAGGCACACAAAGGAGGGCUUCAGAAGGUGACCUCAGAGUCUGGGUAGGUUCAUGUGGAAAGAAGUUGUCCUUGAGGUAUUGCGGUCCUGGGCCGUUUAAGGCUUUAUAGGUCAAACCAGCACUUUGAAUUGGGCCCAGAAACUAAUUGGUAGCCAAUGCAGUUGGACCAGGAUCAGUGUACUAUGCUCAAACCGUCUUGCUCCAGUGAGCAACCUGGCUGCUGAAUUCUGCACCAGCUGAAGUUUCUGAACCAUCUUCAGAGGCAGCCCUACUUAUAACGCAUUGCAGUAAUCUAACUUGAAGUUACCAGAGCAUAGACAACAGUAGUUAGGCUAUCCCUGUCCAGACACUCCGGGCCACAGAAGAAGAAGAAGAAGAAGAAGAAGAAGAAGAAGAAGAAGAAGAAGAAGAAGAAGAAGAAGAAGAAGAAGAAGAAGAAGAAGAAGAAGAAGAAGAAGAACAACAACAACAACAACAACAACAACAACAACAACAACAACAACACACCCUGAACUUUCUUAUGAGUAAGCAUUUUUAGGACCAAAGUAUUGUAAUGGCUUGCGGGACGCGGGUGGCGCUGUGGGUAAAACCUCAGUGCCUAGGACUUGCCGAUUGUAUGGUCGGCGGUUCGAAUCCCCGUGGUGGGGUGAGCUCCCGUCUUUCGGUCCCAGCUUCUGCCCACCUAGCAGUUCGAAAGCACCCCUAAGUGCAAGUAGAUAAAUAGGUACCGCUUUAUAAUGGGAAGGUAAACGGCGUUUCCGUGUGCUGCGCUGGUGCUGGCUCACCAGAGCAGCUUUGUCACGCUGGCCACGUGACCCGGAAGUGUCUUCGGACAGCGCUGGCUCCCGGCCUCUUAAGUGAGAUGAGCGCACAACCCUAGAGUCGGACACGACUGGCCCGUACGGGCAGGGGUACCUUUACCUUUACCUUUAUUGUAAUGGCUUAGCAGUUAGCACAGUAGGUCCUUUGGAAAUAUGGCUUGCAGCAAGCAUUUGCAAGCAACUCGCAUGCAAGGAUUAAUGACCAAAAACACAUGGAAUUUGUGUAAUUUUAAUUGGGUAAGGUGCAUCAUUUUCGCAAGCUUGAUAAGGUCAUUUGAGAAACAAUUAGGUGGCACCAUGGGGUAAAUAAAGCAGGCACAUGGAAUAAAUGAUAGCUCACCUAACCUUUCUUAGCUCCUGUAAUUGCGUACACAUUAUUCAAAGUUAAGCAAAAGGACACACGUAAAUUGGACCCUCCACUGUGAUAUAGCUGCCACGAGACAAACGCGAUAAUGCCCGGGCUGGCGCAUGGCUCACAAAACAUGAUAUUAUAGAUCUCCUUCAGACCAUUGACAGAGUUUGCAAAUUGCAUAACUUGCCUAAUUCCUGCUUUGAGAUAGUGUUCCUGCUCGCUGCAUAAUGCUCAUCAGUCUUUCAGAAACUGUCGCGGGUCGCUAACAAUAGCUGUCAUUGAGAAAAUAAUCCUAGGCAAUUUUCUACCAGAUAAUUCAACCUACCGUGUUAUCUUCUUCAGGGGAGUGAAAGGGGAACGCCAGGGGAGCUUAAACGGUGGCUUUACCCAGCGAAAGAUUAUUCCAGUUCUGAGGCAGCUCUGCUUAAAAAGGUUAGAAGCCUAGAAAUACUCUACAUUCCAUCAACAGCGGAAUGCACUGAUAAUGGCAGAGUUUAAACAGCCGCUCCAAUUAUCAUCAAAUAGCAUGUAAAAGUCUACUCCAAAGCUACCAAAGUCUAUUAGCUUAUCCUUCUCUCAAAGCCAUGGUAGUGCUCUAGUUCCCUUCUGCUUCACAAUGAUAUGGAUUUGCGUCCGUGAGAAUCGGCAGACGGUACUUCGCUCUUAUCAGUUGCUGGGGAAAAUCGUGAAUUCAGAAC